GACAGCGACGAGUCUGGAGUUGUGGAUUACGAGUUCAUCGACAACGACUCCGACGAUUCCAACGAUGUCUCCUCACAUCGAUACCAGGUUUAUGUGAUUGGUGAGGAAGGUAUCUUGAAGGAGCUUGAGCUUGCUGGAUAUCGAUACAUUGGUGGACCAGUAUGUAACACUCUGUGUACGUGAAAACCCUGGAUGUCUAUCAUUGCAACAAAUCGUGAUGCUGUCACUCAUCUCAAAGAUGCUCAGGAAUGGGCAGGUGGACCGUGGUGGUUCUAUGGUUGGCGCUAUCCGUGGAUCUACUCAACGUGAGCCGCUGGUUGUGGGAAAACCCUCAACAUUUAUGAUGGACUACUUAGCAAACGAAUUUGGCAUCUUGAAGUGAAGUCACAGAUUUGCAUGGUUGGGAUACAGAUUAGAUACUGAUAUUCUGUUUGGACAAAAUGGUGGUUACAAAACUUUUCUUGUUCUCUCAGGUGUCACCACUUUGUCAGUGCUUCAGAGUCCUAACAACUCCAUACAACCAGAUUUUUACAUGAACAAGAUUUCAGACUUUUUGUCUCUCAAGGCUGCAACUGUAUGAUUAUUAUGUUACCCCUAAAAUAUAUCUUGGGCGCAUCUGUCAUUAUUUGUCUCCGCCAGUCAUACUUCCAUGUAAUUUUUUUUAAGUAUAUUUUACUGGAUGUAGGUUUCUGAAACAAAAAGAAACAGAGUACAUUAAUAAAUAUAAAAAUUAUGCACUUGAGAUGUCUGUGCAAUU